CACCUGACUCCCGCAGAGAAGUCAUCCUCUGCCCGAAGAAUAACAAGACUAGAGGGCCGAUUUGCCCUUUCGGACUCUCCCGCGCUCCCCCGGAAUUCUCCAUCUUUCCAGGCCUAAUACCGGCGCUCUUCCUCCCCACCUUCCCCGCCCGGAAGGCAAUGCGGGCACCUUUGCGCCCUGGGGAGACUGGAGGGGCCUCUCCAUCCUGCCUCCGCCAGCCAGUGCACUGGCCUUCACCUUCCUUGGUCCUGGCGGUUUUCGUGCAGUGUCUCUAGUGGACCCUUCAAGAUUUCAAGCCCGAGGAAGCUUGGCUGGCUCAGUCGGAGGACUGUGCUACUCUUGAUCUCGCGGGUCGUGAAUUAGAACCCUACGGAUCAGCUGCAAGUGCGUUCCCGUGCAGACACUACUGAUACAUUUUCAGAACUGAGCGACCAUGAAGGAAGACGAACCAUGAGCUCAAAAUCAUCAUUCUGGUCUGGGCGUCCUAAAACGCAGAAGUGGAAGGUUUCCAGUUACACCGGCAAGGAUAUGACGAGAUCAGUCUUGGUAUUUCACUCAGAGAGCCUUUAUGAUGCCCACGUCGGAGACACCCGGCUGUCACAUGCCUCCUGCGUCCACAAUCUCCCUGAUGCCGGCUCCUCUCCAUUCACUCAGCGCAAUCAAUGAACGCUGCGCUGCUACGGAAACGUAUUACCCGUGGUCACGCCCCACAUCCCAACCGCAAAGCAUCACUCUCCCCUCCUCGACCCCUGGGUCUUUUGUGUCAGCAGUGCUCAACCUACUUAUUGUAGUGUUCCCCCCGCCCCCGUAUCUAAUAAGCCUUCUACAAUGAA